CCAGAGAACUUUCCAGAGAUGGAUUGGUGCCUUCGGGAACUCUGAGACAGGUGCUGCAUGGCUGUCGUCAGCUCGUGUUGUGAAAUGUUGGGUUAAGUCCCGCAACGAGCGCAACCCUUAUCCUUUGUUGCCAGCGGUUAGGCCGGGAACUCAAAGGAGACUGCCAGUGAUAAACUGGAGGAAGGUGGGGAUGACGUCAAGUCAUCAUGGCCCUUACGAGUAGGGCUACACACGUGCUACAAUGGCGCAUACAAAGAGAAGCGACCUCGCGAGAGCAAGCGGACCUCAUAAAGUGCGUCGUAGUCCGGAUUGGAGUCUGCAACUCGACUCCAUGAAGUCGGAAUCGCUAGUAAUCGUGGAUCAGAAUGCCACGGUGAAUACGUUCCCGGGCCUUGUACACACCGCCCGUCACACCAUGGGUGUGGGUUGCAAAAGAAGUAGGUAGCUUAACCUUCGGGAGGGCGCUUACCACUUUGUGAUUCAUGACUGGGGUGAAGUCGUAACAAGGUAAGCGUAGUGCU
rnacentral:rRNA from 1 species